rnacentral:rRNA from 1 species
CCUACGGGUGGCUGCAGUGGGGAAUAUUGGACAAUGGGGGGAACCCUGAUCCAGCCAUGCCGCGUGUGUGAAGAAGGCCCUCGGGUUGUAAAGCACUUUCAGGGAGGAAGAACGCCUGGUGGUUAAUACCCAUCAGGAAAGACAUCACUCACAGAAGAAGCACCGGCUAACUCCGUGCCAGCAGCCGCGGUAAUACGGAGGGUGCGAGCGUUAAUCGGAAUUACUGGGCGUAAAGCGCGCGUAGGUGGCUUGAUAAGCCGGUUGUGAAAGCCCCGGGCUCAACCUGGGAACGGCAUCCGGAACUGUCAAGCUAGAGUGCAGGAGAGGAAGGUAGAAUUCCCGGUGUAGCGGUGAAAUGCGUAGAGAUCGGGAGGAAUACCAGUGGCGAAGGCGGCCUUCUGGACUGACACUGACACUGAGGUGCGAAAGCGUGGGUAGCAAACAGGAUUAGAUACCCGUGUAGUC